GAGCUAACAUACUCCCUUUACUACAAACAAUGCCUAAAGUUUAAACCCAAUAUCUACCAACCAUUAUGCACUACCAACAAGGUGCUUCGUAGAGAAAUAUACAUAUAUGGUCCACCCCACAAGGAGGAUACCCUAAAUUCCUCAUUCACCCACCAACAACCUAUACCUUCCCGGGGAAACCAUUUCUCUAAUGCAUAAAAGAACAGAAGCACCCC
rnacentral:lncRNA from 1 species